rnacentral:rRNA from 1 species
UACGGAGGGGGCUAGCGUUGUUCGGAAUUACUGGGCGUAAAGCGCACGUAGGCGGCUUUGCAAGUUAGAGGUGAAAGCCCAGGGCUCAACCCUGGAAUUGCCUUUAAGACUGCAUCGCUUGAACAUCGGAGAGGUAAGUGGAAUUCCGAGUGUAGAGGUGAAAUUCGUAGAUAUUCGGAAGAACACCAGUGGCGAAGGCGACUUACUGGACGAUUGUUGACGCUGAGGUGCGAAAGCGUGGGGAGCAAACAGG